CUACCUGACCAUCAUUCUAUUUAUACUCUUUACAGAGAAGACUUCCCCGAGUGGCUGGCCGAUUACACUUUGUAGUAACUUGUCGGCUCUCCUCCGCAUACAAUCUCUUCAUGGCCGUGACUAUCUUCUAUGUUAAAUUCUGCAUUGAAAAUGUUUACAAUCACCUUUUCAGUUAUUCUACGAAUGUUCAGUGAAUUAAGAACGCCUUCUGUCCCGAUUUCUGUCACUGUACAUAUGCUAGCAAAAAAAAAAA